GGACCUCGGAUCAGGUAGGGAUACCCGCUGAACUUAAGCAUAUCAAUAAGCGGAGGA
rnacentral:rRNA from 1 species